rnacentral:lncRNA from 1 species
CAAGGAGACCAUGAGUGCAGCAGGUAGCAGGAGGGAAAAGUCACGUUGGAAUCUCCCUGAGAGGGAUGCUGGAAAGGUCAAGUGAGCUCAGAGACCCUGCCAGAUGCAGAAAGCUUCCUUCAUGGCAGCACAAAUAGUUUCCAUUUCCCAGUCAAGAGCCAGCAUCCAAGACGAGCUUCUGAUUUGACACUGAAUGAAACAAAAGAUGGCCCAGAACUCAAUGGAAGCCAGGAAAUGGAGGCGCAAUUGCCAGAAAAUCUCUGCAACAUCCCAGAAAUCCCCAUGGGCAGAGAAGGCAGUUAAAGGUCUAAAAAAAAAUGACUUAAUCCUUCUUGAAGUCUCUCAGCACCAAGCAGGCAAUAACCGUGUCCCAUUCAUCUUUGGGUUUCUCCAGUCUUUGGUAAGAGAGGGUGACAAGUGAGUGCUGAAUGGGGGAAUAAAGAGAGAAUGAAUUAACA